rnacentral:rRNA from 1 species
CGAACGCUGGCGGCAGGCCUAACACAUGCAAGUCGAACGUGAAGCCGGACUUCGGUCUGGUGGAAAGUGGCGCACGGGUGAGUAACACGUGGGCACCUACCCGACGGUGGGGGAUAACCAUUGGAAACGAUGGCUAAUACCGCAUACGCCCCAUGGGGGAAAGAUUUAUCGCCGACGGAUGGGCCCGCGUCUGAUUAGCUAGUUGGUGAGGUAAUGGCUCACCAAGGCGACGAUCAGUAGCUGGUUUGAGAGGAUGAUCAGCCACACUGGGACUGAGACACGGCCCAG